CCCUUAGAUGUUCCGAACCGCACGCGUGUUACACUGAUGCAUUCAACGAGCUUUACCUUGGCCGAGAGGCCUGGGAAAUCUUUUUAGCAUGCAUCGUGAUAGGGAUUGAUUAUUGCAAUUAUUAAUCAUGAACGAGGAAUUCCUAGUAAACGCAUUUCAUCAAAAUGCAUUGAUUACGUCCCUGCCCUUUGUACACACCGCCCGUCGCACCUACCGAUUGAGUGGUCCGGUGAAGUCUCGAGAUUGUGGCAAUCUCCUUUAUUGGAGUUUGACUGCGAGAACUUGCCUAAACCUUAUCACUUAGAGGAAGGUGAAGUCGUAACA
rnacentral:rRNA from 1 species